rnacentral:rRNA from 1 species
CGCCAACGGGCAGCUUACCAUGCAGUCGAGGGGUAUAGUUCUUCGGAACUAGAGACCGGCGCACGGGUGCGUAACGCGUAUGCAAUCUACCUUUCACAGAGGGAUAGCCCAGAGAAAUUUGGAUUAAUACCUCAUAGUAUAGUACCUUGGCAUCAAGGAAUUAUUAAAGUCACAACGGUGAAAGAUGAGCAUGCGUCCCAUUAGCUUGUUGGUAAGGUAACGGCUUACCAAGGCUACGAUGGGUAGGGGUCCUGAGAGGGAGAUCCCCCACACUGGUACUGAGACACGGACCAGACUCCUACGGGAGGCAGCAGUGAGGAAUAUUGGUCAAUGGGCGCAAGCCUGAACCAGCCAUGCCGCGUGCAGGAUGACGGUCCUAUGGAUUGUAAACUGCUUUUAUACAGGAAGAAACACUCGGACGUGUCCGAGCUUGACGGUACUGUAGGAAUAAGGAUCGGCUAACUCCGUGCCAGCAGCCGCGGUAAUACGGAGGAUCCAAGCGUUAUCCGGAAUCAUUGGGUUUAAAGGGUCCGUAGGCGGCUUAAUAAGUCAGUGGUGAAAUCCCUACGCUUAACGUAGGAACGGCCAUUGAUACUGUUAGGCUUGAAUUAUUAGGAAGUAACUAGAAUAUGUAGUGUAGCGGUGAAAUGCUUAGAGAUUACAUGGAAUACCAAUUGCGAAGGCAGGUUACUACUAAUGGAUUGACGCUGAUGGACGAAAGCGUGGGUAGCGAACAGGAUUAGAUACCCUGGUAGUCCACGCCGUAAACGAUGGAUACUAGCUGUUGGGCGCAAGUUCAGUGGCUAAGCGAAAGUGAUAAGUAUCCCACCUGGGGAGUACGUUCGCAAGAAUGAAACUCAAAGGAAUUGACGGGGGCCCGCACAAGCGGUGGAGCAUGUGGUUUAAUUCGAUGAUACGCGAGGAACCUUACCAAGGCUUAAAUGUAGUUUGACGUUUGGAAACAGACUUUCGCAGACAAAUUACAGGUGCUGCAUGUUGUCGUCAGCUCGUGCCGUGAGGUGUCAAGUAAGUCUAUACGAGCGCACCCUGUGUAGUGCAGCGAGGUGAGUCGGGAACUCUAACAAGACUGCCAGUGCAACUGUGAGAAGUGCAG